rnacentral:rRNA from 1 species
UACGUAGGGUGCAAGCGUUGUCCGGAAUUAUUGGGCGUAAAGAGCUUGUAGGCGGUUUGUCGCGUCUGCUGUGAAAUCCGGGGCUCAACCCCGGACUUGCAGUGGGUACGGGCAGACUAGAGUGUGGUAGGGGAGACUGGAAUUCCUGGUGUAGCGGUGAAAUGCGCAGAUAUCAGGAGGAACACCGAUGGCGAAGGCAGGUCUCUGGGCCACUACUGACGCUGAGAAGCGAAAGCGUGGGGAGCGAACAGG